rnacentral:misc_RNA from 1 species
UACGGAGGGGGCAAGCGUUGCUCGGAUUCAUUGGGCGUAAAGGGUGUGUAGGCGUCCCUUCAAGUCAGAUGUGAAAUCCCUAGGCUCAACCUAGGAACUGCAUUUGAUACUGUUGGGAUUGAGCUUGGGAGAGGUGAGCGGAAUUCCCGGUGUAAGGGUGAAAUCUGUAGAUAUCGGGAGGAACACCAGUGGCGAAGGCGGCUCACUGGCCUAAAGCUGACGCUGAAACACGAAAGCUAGGGUAGCAAACAGG